rnacentral:rRNA from 1 species
AACGAACGCUGGCGGCAUGCCUAACACAUGCAAGUCGAACGAAGGCUUCGGCCUUAGUGGCGCACGGGUGCGUAACGCGUGGGAACCUGCCCCUCGGUUCGGAAUAACAGUUAGAAAUGACUGCUAAUACCGGAUGAUGACUUCGGUCCAAAGAUUUAUCGCCGAGGGAUGGGCCCGCGUAGGAUUAGCUAGUUGGUGGGGUAAAGGCCUACCAAGGCGACGAUCCUUAGCUGGUCUGAGAGGAUGAUCAGCCACACUGGGACUGAGACACGGCCCAGACUCCUACGGGAGGCAGCAGUGGGGAAUAUUGGACAAUGGGCGAAAGCCUGAUCCAGCAAUGCCGCGUGAGUGAUGAAGGCCUUAGGGUUGUAAAGCUCUGUUUUAGGGGACGAAUGUUAUGGGGAGAAUAUGCCCUGUAAAUGACGGUACCUUAAGAGGAAGCCCCGGCUAACUACGUGCCAGCAGCCGCGGU